GGGCAUAUGGUGUAGGGGUUAUCACGUUCGCUUUGCAUUACAGAUGCGAAAGGUCUCCGGUUCAAAUCCGGAUUUGUCCA
rnacentral:tRNA from 1 species